UCAAAUCAACAAUAAUGUUCAUUAAUAGCCAUAAAACCUUCCAUAGACAUAUUUUCACGGUAAAUAAUAUUGAGAGAUGACAUGUCACUUUGGAUCCUCAAACAGGGCAAAAGAUCAACUUUGGAGUUCAUGAGGUUAGAUAACAUGCACGCACACAUGUACGUAUAACUGGUGCGUCAUAACACUUCAAGA